rnacentral:rRNA from 1 species
CAAUAGCGUAUAUUAAAGUUGUUGCAGUUAAAAAGCUCGUAGUUGGAUUUCUGGUGGGAGCGAUCGGUCUGGCGCUUAGCGCGAGUACUUGCAUCGUCUCCGGCCAUCCUUGGGGAGAGUCUGUCUGGCAUUAGGUUGUCGGGCAGAGGAUCCUCAUCGUUUACUGUGAAAAAAUUAGAGUGUUCAAAGCAGGCUUAUGCCGUUGAAUAUAUUAGCAUGGAAUAAUAAGAUAGGACUUUGGUACUAUUUUGUUGGUUUGCGUUACGAAGUAAUGAUUAAUAGGGACAGUUGGGGGUAUUCGUAUUUCGUUGUCAGAGGUGAAAUUCUUGGAUUUCCGAAAGACGAACUACUGCGAAAGCAUUUACCAAGGAUGUUUUCAUUAA